ACGUGCUCAGAGUUCCUUAUACCGAACGACGAUGGAAUCUCUCGCCAAUUGCGAGUCUGAUCGAGACACCUCGUGAGUGAUAAAGGUUUUCGAUUGUUAGCUCUUGUUGUUUAGAAGAAACAAGUGCCGUUCAAUAAUUGACGCUACCUUGACGUAUCUUAGCAGAAAGCCACGCUAACUACGUGCAGCAGCCGCGGUAAUACGUAGUGGCAGCGUUGUCUGGAUUAUUUGGCGUAAGGGCUCGCAGGCGUUUUUUUAAGUUUUGAUGUGAAGCCCCCGGCUCAACCGGGGGAGGGUCAUUGGAAACUGGGAACUUGAGUGCAGAAGAGAGAGUUGAAUUCCACGUGUAGCGGUGAAAUGCGUAGAGAUGUUGGAGGAACACCAGUGGCGAAGGCGACUCUCUGGUCUGUAACUGACGCUGAGGACUCGAAAGCGUGGGGAGCGAACAGGAUUAGAUACCUGGUAGUUCACGCCGUAAACGAUGAGUGCUAAGUGUUAGGGGGUUUCCGCCCUUUAGUGCUGCAGCAAACGCAUUUAAGCACUCCGCCUGGGGAGUACGGUCGCAAGACUGAAACUCAAAGGAAUUGACGGGGGCCCGCACAAGCGGUGGAGCAUGUGGUUUAAUUCGAAGCAACGCGAAGAACCUUACCAGGUCUUGACAUCCUCUGACAAUCCUAGAGAUAGGAGCGUCCCCUUCGGGGGCAGAGUGACAGGUGGUGCAUGGUUGUCGUCAGCUCGUGUCGUGAGAUGUUGGGUUAAGUCCCGCAACGAGCGCAACCCUUGAUCUUAGUUGCCAGCAUUCAGUUGGGCACUCUAAGGUGACUGCCGGUGACAAACCGGAGGAAGGUGGGGAUGACGUCAAAUCAUCAUGCCCCUUAUGACCUGGGCUACACACGUGCUACAAUGGGCAGAACAAAGGGCAGCGAAACCGCGAGGUUAAGCCAAUCCCACAAAUCUGUUCUCAGUUCGGAUCGCAGUCUGCAACUCGCCUGCGUGAAGCUGGAAUCGCUAGUAAUCGCGGAUCAGCAUGCCGCGGUGAAUACGUUCCCGGGCCUUGUACACACCGCCCGUCACACCACGAGAGUUUGUAACACCCGAAGUCGGUGAGGUAACCAUUAGAGCCAGCCGCCGGAUAUAUGCUGUU
rnacentral:rRNA from 1 species